rnacentral:rRNA from 1 species
UACGAAGGGGGCUAGCGUUGCUCGGAAUCACUGGGCGUAAAGCGCACGUAGGCGGCUUUUUAAGUCAGAGGUGAAAUCCUGGAGCUCAACUCCAGAACUGCCUUUGAUACUGGAGAGCUUGAGUACGGGAGAGGAGAGUGGAAUUCCCAGUGUAGAGGUGAAAUUCGUAGAUAUUGGGAAGAACACCGGUGGCGAAGGCGGCUCUCUGGACCGUAACUGACGCUGAGGCGCGAAAGCGUGGGGAGCAAACAGG